GAGGAUUAGAUUCUCUUCUCAGAACAGCCAGAGAAUCGGAGAAAGAAGUGGAGGAGACUGGAAACCUCAGUCCCCGGAGGAGAGGAAUCCCGAGAUUGUGACUCUGUGAGUGUUGAGUGAUCACAGUCUCUUUUCAGCUACUAUUUCUUCGCCUUUUCUCUCGUAAAAGAAUUAGCUACAGUGCAAACUGGGGACUCAAAAAGCUAACAGUGGAGAGUGCGGACUCAAAAAGGUACGGAUUGAUCUGUUUCGUUCUUGAUCGAUAAUUUUCUCCCCUCCAUUACUGUUUUUUGAGUUGAAACUAGGUCUUAAUAGUUCAUCCUUCAUACAUUUGUUGCUCAGAUCUCACUUCUUAUGGCAUAGUUUAGUUUCUACCCCUUUUCCUCUUCUUUUCUGAACUUCUGUAUAUGUCGUACAUCUCUUAGAAGUUAGAACUUCUAUUUGCCUGAGAAAAUUGCGGUGAUUUGUUGCUUCUGUGAAGGUUCAUGCUGGCUUUGCUGAUUAUACCGGCAGUAUGUUUACUUGCGAGUUAUGAUUUAAUGUAGCUAUUUAUCCUAAAUCGCGAAUACGAUCUUUUUAGAUUUGUUCAACACAAAUGAAUUUGGAUCGUUCCUGUGCGUGGAAAAUGAAUACAAAUUACAACCGUGUCGCGAUUGUCUGCAA